GACAGAGGGGGCAAGCGUUGCUCGGAAUUACUGGGCGUAAAGGGCGUGUAGGCGGGAUGGCAAGUCGGUCGUGAAAUCCUUCGGCUCAACCGAAGAACGUCGAUCGAUACUGCUGUUCUUGAGGGUUGCAGAGGAGACUGGAAUUCCCGGUGUAGCGGUGAAAUGUGUAGAGAUCGGGAGGAACACCGGUGGCGAAGGCGGGUCUCUGGACGACAUCUGACACUGGGGCACGAAAGCUAGGGGAGCAAACAGG
rnacentral:rRNA from 1 species